UGCGUAGGCGGUUUGACAAGUCUUAUGUGAAAUCUUCGGGCUCAACCCGAAGUCUGCAUGGGAAACUGUCGGGCUUGAGUAUGGGAGAGGUGAGUGGAAUUUCCGGUGUAGCGGUGAAAUGCGUAGAUAUCGGAAGGAACACCUGUGGCGAAAGCGGCUCACUGGACCAUAACUGACGCUGAGGCACGAAAGCUAGGGAGCAAACA
rnacentral:rRNA from 1 species